rnacentral:rRNA from 1 species
UAGGGUCAAGUGACUAAGAGCAUGUGGUGGAUGCCUUGGCGAUUACAGGCGACGAAAGACGUGAUAGCCUGCGAUAAGCUUCGGGGAGCUGGCAAAUAAGCUUUGAUCCGGAGAUUUCUGAAUGGGGAAACCCACCUCGCAAGAGGUAUCGCAUACUGAAUACAUAGGUAUGCGAGGCGAACCGGGUGAACUGAAACAUCUCAGUAGCUCGAGGAAAAGACAUCAACCGAGAUUCCGAAAGUAGUGGCGAGCGAAAUCGGAAGAGCCUUCUAGUGAUAGCACGACUGUUAGCAAAACGGGAUGGAAAGCCCGGCCAUAGCAGGUGAUAGCCCUGUAUGCGAAAACAGACGUGUGGUACUAAGUUAGAGAAAAGUAGGGCGGGACACGAGAAAUCCUGUCUGAAUAUGGGGGGACCAUCCUCCAAGGCUAAAUACUCGUAAUCGACCGAUAGUGAACCAGUACCGUGAGGGAAAGGCGAAAAGAACCCCGGGAGGGGAGUGAAAUAGAUCCUGAAACCGCAUGCUUACAAAAAGUAGGAGCCCGCAAGGGUGACUGCGUACCUUUUGUAUAAUGGGUCAGCGACUUACAUUCAGUGGCAAGGUUAACCGAAUAGGGAAGCCGUAGAGAAAUCGAGUCCGAAUAGGGCGAAUCAGUCGCUGGGUGUAGACCCGAAACCAAGUGAUCUAUCCAUGGCCAGGAUGAAGGUGCCGUAACAGGUACUGGAGGUCCGAACCCACUAGUGUUGCAAAACUAGGGGAUGAGCUGUGGAUAGGGGUGAAAGGCUAAACAAACUUGGAAAUAGCUGGUU